rnacentral:tRNA from 1 species
AGUCUUGUAGUGUAAUGGUACCACGUCAGAUUCUGGCUCUGAAAAUCUAGGUUCGAACCCUAGCAAGACUA